GACGAACGCUGGCGGCGUGCCUAAUACAUGCAAGUAGAACGCACAGUUUAUACCGUAGCUUGCUACACCAUAAACUGUGAGUUGCGAACGGGUGAGUAACGCGUAGGUAACCUGCCUGGUAGCGGGGGAUAACUAUUGGAAACGAUAGCUAAUACCGCAUAAUAUUGAUUAUUGCAUGAUAAUUGAUUGAAAGAUGCUAUUGCAUCACUACCAGAUGGACCUGCGUUGUAUUAGCUAGUAGGUGAGGUAACGGCUCACCUAGGCGACGAUACAUAGCCGACCUGAGAGGGUGAUCGGCCACACGAGGACUGAGACACGGCCCAGACUCCUACGGGAGGCAGCAGUAGGGAAUCUGCGGCAAUGGACGAAAGUCUGACCGAGCAACGCCGCGUGAGUGAAGAAGGUGUUCGGAUCGUAAAGCUCUGUUGUAGAGAAGAACGGGUGUGAGAGUGGAAAGUUCACACUGUGACGGUAUCUGACCAGAAAGGGACGGCUAACUACGUG
rnacentral:rRNA from 1 species